ACGUGAUGAUAACGGCGAGCGCAGAGAUGAAGAAGAUUACGAGUCUCGAUGAUGAUAAGCUUUGGGCAGGAUUUGAUUGGGAGGAAACUGAGUGGUGAAAUAAAACCUAAGACCUUGAUCACUAGUUAUCCUUUCCCAGCUAUCCUCAGAGAGGACCUUUGAUUGCAAAAGAGUUGCUCUCAGUGUUCCCAAAUUCUAGAUAUAUGAUCAGAGGGAUUAGAUCCAAAUUGCAUGAGGUCAUAGCAUUAGCUAAAAGGAGACGUUUUACAUCUCUAAUUCUCACUCAUACAAACUCUCUUGGACAUGAAUUGUGCAAAUCCCCCGAGCCGCCCCCGCUAUCCUGAGCUUCAUAUGAAGAGUUUUAAUUCUCAGGCCAGUGUUGGCACAGCCAGAAUGAUACAAGCACUCUUCCCCAAGGUCCCUUCUUCUGGUGGAAGGCCUGUUGCAUGGUUUCAGAAGCAAAAUAAUCAUAUCUUUUUUCGAUCUCAUCGUUUCUGCUAUGAGGAAGCACUUUCAGGAGAAAGUUCAAGUGUCCGCAGACAGCCAUAGGUUUCAUAUCUAUUGCUUUUACUGACCUU